rnacentral:rRNA from 1 species
CUUGGUCAUUUAGAGGAAGUAAAAGUCGUAACAAGGUUUCCGUAGGUGAACCUGCGGAAGGAUCAUUAUUGAUUUUUAAAGAUGUGCUGGCACUCCUUCACCGGUUUGCAUGUGCACUCUGCAAAAUCUCCUUCUCUUACCCCACUGUGCACACCCAAGUAGACAAACAGAGUUACAGAGCAAUCUGUGUAAUUCCUGAUUUGCCUAUGUUUUUAUCAAACACCAAUAACAAUAUCAGAAUGAUCUAUAUAGUAAGCUUUUAACAAGCUGAAAUUUAAUACAACUUUCAACAAUGGAUCUCUUGGUUCUCGCAUCGAUGAAGAACGCAGCGAAUUGCGAUAUGUAAUGUGAAUUGCAGAAUUCAGUGAAUCAUCGAAUCUUUGAACGCACCUUGCACCCUCUGGCAUUCCGGAGGGUAUGCCUGUUUGAGUGUCAUUAAUCUCUCAACGCAAGAAACUUUGUCUUCUUGUGCUUGGAUAUUGAAGGUUUUGCUGGCGCAAACAACUGUCAGCUCCUUUUAAAUGUAUUAGCAGAGCAGUAUGGGACUGGCCUCGGUUUGAUAAGAAACUUUAUCUAUGCUGUCGCUGGGUUUUCCUCUUUGUGCUCAGCUUCAAAUUGUCUUCGGACUGUCUCUUGAGGCAACAAAAUUUCUAUUGAUCGACCUCAAAUCAGGUAGGACUACCUGCUGAACUUAAGCAUAUCAAUAAGCGGAGGA